GUGAUAUACACCAUGACAAAAACCUCCUACACUCACUUCUGCUUUAUGCAUAGCAGAGGGGUGAACUCUAAGAAACAGCUGUUGAAGUUGGUCAGUGAUUAUUACAACAAUAAUUACAUGUCACAAUGGGAGAUCUGGGAAUGGAAGAACCAUCCAUCCCUGCAUGUCACAAUGGGAGAUCUGGGAAUGGAAUAACCAUCCAUCCCUGCAUGUCACAAUGGGAGAUCUGGGAAUGGAAGAACCAUCCAUCUCUGCAUGUCACAAUGGGAGAUCUGGGAAUGGAAGAACCAUCCAUCUCUGCAUGUCAACAAGAUUAUAAGAAGACAUCGUCUGAAAGGAAAUGAAUGUUCUCUUUCUUGUUGUGAUCAUCAUCAUCAUCAUCAUCAUCAUCAUCAUCAUCAUCAUCAUCAUCAUCAUCAUCAUCACAACCAACAUCAUCAUCAUAUCAAGACUGAAUCAUAUGGAUAGUACUUUAACUCAUGGAUUUGUAUUUGUAUUUAAGGUAUUUGUAUUUAUUAUGGAUCCCCAUUAGCUCUUCCUGGGGUCCGGCAAAAUUAAGGAAGUUAUUUGCCUUAUGUAGCCCCGCCCACUUGACCCAGUUCCAUUCGAACGCGAUUGUGUUUGUAUUUCCGUUUUGAACUACCUUCAAUGCUAGCGAAUUACCUCAGAGCGGUGGCUGGCUAAUAAUUAAAAAACGUGCAUCAUUAACACAUUUUAACAAAUAAACAAAAACAAAACAUGGCUUACAUUUGGGAACACACACAAAUGGCUCUUCGGAGGUCGGAUGGUAUCACCGUACCCCAUCCAUCCAUGAUAAAUAAUUUGGUGGAUGAAAUGACGUAUGGGGACAAUUUGAAUGACUUGGUGCUCUCCUUGGGAGCGGAUGGUUCCACUAUGAAAAAGGACUAUCAGUACCUCCACGGUGGUAAGGUGGGCCGAGUUCUUCUUCACCAGGAGGAGGGAAAAGGAUUGGUCAUUUUUGAAGGCCGAUGUUGAGCCCAGCCAAUCAAUCAGCUCCUACCACCCUGCUUGGGAACUUGUAUCCAACAAAGGAUCAGUAGAGACGGCUGGAUGUCCUUGCAUCGCUGGCCUUGGAAAGUCAUGCAGCCUCCAUUUUGUGGAAGCAGAACUGCCGUGUUAAUGUGGGGAAUCAGUAAGUAUCCUGUCAAAUCUCAUGUUGGGGAAGCAAGGCAGGUUUAUGGAGUCCAGGUGAGGAGGGGAUAACCUUUAUAUUUACAUUUAUAAACAUGUCAGCAUCACAUUUCUUUAGUGUUAUUAGUCUUUAGUGUUAUUGUUUUUUUUCUGGGUGAAUAAGGUUUGUAAAAUAUCAUUGUGGUUGGGGGUAAUGCCUAAAGAAUGGUAAGUAUAAGUGGCCUCAUCUCAUUGGAAACAAUAGCAAGGUAAGUUUAUGAUGAAACUUGCAUGUGUUUUGAUUAAGUUGAUCACAUAGUCCUCAGUCACGCAAUUGUUAAUAAUGGGAUUUUCUCUGAAUGUCUUUUUGUAACAAACAUUCUAUCACAGGUGCAGAAUGUGGUGCCCAGUGGGCUAACUGGCAUAACCUGCACAGAUAAGCAGCGACAAUGGAAUGCAGGGACUCAGAGGAACCUUGAGCCAAAGCGGAUAAACAGCAUUGACUUCACACACCACAAGGCCAGUGACCAACAUGCAGAAAAGCGUCCAGAAUGUCCACCCCUGCCUCCCACCCCUGCCUCCCACGCCUGUAUUCCACUCAAAUGAGUAAUUGAGACACCUGAUUGAGACGCCUGAGACACCUGAAUCUGCCCGUGGGGAGUCUGCUCUCCACAUGGAGAGCAUGUAAAUUACAACUGCCGGAAAUGCCUGUUCUUCUGCAAUGAAUUGGUGAAACUUGACCCAACCCAGUCGACUGCUUUGGAACAGAUCCCAAAGGAGCAGAGUGCCUCACACUUGUGGCAGGACUCAAUGAAGUUUCGAGUUACUGCAAGCUCAGCCAAGAAGGUCCCCGUCAGGGACUCCACCAACCCUGAUCAAAUCAAA